rnacentral:rRNA from 1 species
GACGAACGCUGGCGGCGUGCUUAACACAUGCAAGUCGAACGGAAAGGCCCUGCUUUUGUGGGGUGCUCGAGUGGCGAACGGGUGAGUAACACGUGAGUAACCUGCCCUUGACUUUGGGAUAACUUCAGGAAACUGGGGCUAAUACCGGAUAGGAGCUCCUGCUGCAUGGUGGGGGUUGGAAAGUUUCGGCGGUUGGGGAUGGACUCGCGGCUUAUCAGCUUGUUGGUGGGGUAGUGGCUUACCAAGGCUUUGACGGGUAGCCGGCCUGAGAGGGUGACCGGCGACAAUGGGACUGAGAGACGGCCCAGACGCCUACGGGAGGCAGCAGUGGGGAGUAUUGCGCAAUGGGCGGACGCGUGAUACAGCAACGCCGCGUGCGGGAUGACGGCCUUCGGGUUGUAAACCGCUUUCGCCUGUGACGAAGCGUGAGUGACGGUAAUGGGUAAAGAAGCACCGGCUAACUACGUG